rnacentral:misc_RNA from 1 species
GUAUUAAUUGCGUGUGAUCGCAAAAGAAAAACAUUCUACACUGUAUCGAGUUUGUGUGAAAACGUGAGCCCCCGAAAGGGGACCCACGCGGUGGUGCACAAGGGGUGAAAUGGAUGUGUGAGAGUGCUCAGGCGUGCACGACCUUUUGAAAGGUCAGCGACAGCCCUCGCACCCCCGUUGUAUGAUAAUGAUCCUUCCGCAGGUUCACCUACGGAAA